rnacentral:rRNA from 1 species
AUUGAACACUGGCGGCAGGCCUAACACAUGCAAGUCGAGCGAGCGGCGGACGGGAGAGUAAUGCCUGGGAAUUGCCCAGUCGAGGGGUAUAACAGUUGGACACGACUGCUAAUACAGCAUACGAUUGGAUUGCCCAGGUGGGAGUAGCUAGUUGGUGAUGUCAUUGCCCACCAAGGCGACGAUCCCUAGCUGGUCUGAGAGGAUGAUCAGCAACACUGGAACUGAGACACGGUGCAGAAGCCUACGGGAGGCGGCAGUGGGGAAUAUUGCACAAUGGGGGAAACACUGAUGAAGCCAUGACGCGGGUGUGAAGAAGGCCUUCGGGUUGUAGAGCACUUUCAGCGAGGAGGCGUUGCUAGCAGAAGAAGCACCAGCUAACACCGUGCCAGCAGCCGCGGUAAUUC